ACCAAAACCUUGGAUUUCAACACGUUGGAGAGUGUUCUUUUCGGGAUUGAAGUAGAAAACAUAAAACGGUUGUUUAGGUGUAUACUUGCGCAUGGAAAACACUAUUUCACCCGAAGCAGUGGCUCCAGCGAUAGAAAGGUGACGACGGAAGAAUGUAUCAUCGGUCCAAGUGUAGGCAUAUUUAGACCAUUUCUGUUUCUCAACAUCCUCUAGAACCCACACACGCAACUCGUUAGUGGCAUCAGCGUCGAGAUUUUCCUCCAAAUACUCAUCGAGAUCUUUACCAUAAUAACAAAUCUCAUAAAUGUCGACAUCAUCCUCCCAAUAAAUCACAGCUAAUUUGCCCUUGUAGUUGAUCAAUCGACAAAACCUUUCUACGUCAAUAAAGGUGAAUGUCUCAGACCGAACAUCAAAGCAAACUAUCACAUAAUCAAACGAUAUUUCAGCUCUCUCAGCUAAGAAAUACAAAACCCCAUUGAUGCACAUCCCAUGACUCUUAAUACCAGGUCGUUCUGGUGAGGGAAACUUUAUCUUUCUCCACGUGAGAUCUCCAUUAUCUCCAAAUGUAAGGAUUUUAUCACGACCAGGGCCAGAGGGAUAACGGAUGGACAAGGCCUUGUAUUGCUUGUCAAUGGGGUCAAACCCGAAAAAGCUAUACGCUUUUCUAUAAGUAUAACGAUUAGGUAAGAUUGCAUACCGUCCUGUGUUGGGGUUACAUAUCAGAGGUCUAGCUUGGUAUCGACAACCAUAGAUAUAGAUCAAGCCAGAAGCGUAGCCAAUUGAAAAAUAUUUUAUGUCACCAUAAUAAUUGAUCAGUAGACCGUCUGGAGAGAACUUCACAUGAAACUCAGCGGCUGCUACAAGAGUCGACAACGAUUUCUCAUAUGGAUUCUCAAGCUGAGGCGUUGAGAAGAAGCUCCACACACCAUUGGAUUCUCCCCUAUAGUCGCCGUUUUCUGCGAUGGCGAAUAAGAGACGCGGCUUAGCGGAGGACCUGGUCUGGAACAACUCGUUGAAGUAUGGACUAGCAAACAUUGACGCCCAUCGCUUCGACACGCAACGAAACCUAGCCACUGACUUUGAAGGCAAUCUCGACAAUAUCUCCAUGAUGAGAUCAGUCGUUAUGGAAGAUGAUGAAUUCAUAAUUGCGGCUCGAACCAAGAAAGAGAGACCUAGCUACGAUCAUGUAUUUAUUUUCCGAUUUUUGUCGGUUAAGAAAAACAAAAAUGGGCUAAUUUUAACGUCCAAGUGGGCCACUAGCUAUUGGAUUGAGAAAUUGGAAGAAGCUAAAUUGGAUCUAGGCUUGAUGAAAUGGUUCCAUAAUUUGUUUGAGAUAUGUUUAGGUGUAUACAACACUAAUCUUUUUUUUUUGAAUCUAAUGUUAAAUUAUAUUCAAAAGAAAAAUAAGAUCGUUUUUACAACUUGUGCAACGGGUAUUUGAAAAAGAAUAGUUGAAAAAAGAAGUUUAGAAUAACUUGGUAGAGGAAGAUCUUAAACACGAGCUCUUAUCCAUGCUUGGUAGGCUGUUUCAUAUCGGCUAUCUCCCUGUAUGCGGAUUGCCGAAAUCCGGUUUCUGACUUGCUUAUCAAUCCAGACAAUUAGAGUAUCAGCUGGUUGUGAAUUCUCCCCAUGUCGUCUCCCAUUUCGUUCCUUCCAUUACGUGUAUACAACGACUUGAAAAACAUAUCUGAUGAGGAAUCCUUCCACUCGAGCUAGUUGUUGGUUUGAAAUAUAUUCGAGGAUGAGUGUCCAGUCGGUUGUGUACCGAGAUUUAAGAAGCCCUGUCGCAAGCGCUUUCCAGAUCGUGGAGCUGUAUUGACAUGAGAAGAAGAGGUGAUCUAUGGUCUCCAAUUGAUUUUGACAAAGCACACAUGUUCCCGAGGCUCCAUGAUCCCACUUAAUAAUACGUUCCCCCAUGUGGAGUCUCUUAUGGGCUGCCAACCACACACAAAAUGAAUAUUUUGGUGUUGCGUGUGCAAACCAGACUCCGCUGUGCCACGAGACUGUGGUGGAUGUGGUUCGAAUGUGGUUCCACGUAUCUCUCGUGGAGAAACUUGGUCUGAAUAUGUCAUGUUUCCCACGCCAAAGAAACUUGUCCUCACUCUCAGUUUGUUUUUGUCGCUGCAGGUGCAGUUCUUCUUCUAUGGCAUUCAAGUGGUUAUUUCGGUGUCUUCUCCGUCGACGAUUAACCCAAGCAGCAGCUAAAGAGCUCGUCUUACUUAUCCCCAUGUCUAUAAAUCCCCGAGAGCCAACACUGUCCACCAGAGUGCCCAUUGAUGACCAGUUGUCAUACCAAAAAGAGGUUUUUAACCCAUUCCCGACUUCCACUUUACAGAAAGGCUUCGCCAUUUCCCUGUACUUGAGGAGCUUUUUCCAUAUCCAAGAACCCUUUGUGGUAUCGUUAUUGAGAGACCAGAGAGAAGCCUGCUUAAGAAUAGAGGACUGAAUCCAUUUAACCCAUAGAGAGUUGCUGUGCGAGACUAUUCGCCAUAUAAGUUUCAAACAGCAAACUGUGUUGGCCUCCUUUAACGACCGCAGCCCAAGACCACCCUCUUGCUUCGGCUUGCAUACAUUAUCCCAUGAGAUCUUAGCCUUAUGUGAGUUUAGAUCAGUACCCGACCAAAGGAAAGCGGAGCAGAGUUUUUCUAUUUCCCGGAUACAAGCGCUAGGUAGGCGGUAGGCUGCCAACCAAAAAUUGCAGAUGCUCCAUAAGAUGGAGGAAAUCAAAUUUAGCCGACCUGCAAAAGAGAGAAACCGUGAAGUCCACGACUCAAUUCUCUUUCGGAGCUGCUCGAUCAAUGGCCUCUAGUCCACCGCUGAGAGUCUCUUUGUUACCAAUGGUAGCCCAAGGUAACGGACCGGUAAGUGGCCUACUUCAAAUGGAAAAAGCGAGGCUAGCUGAUGAGUAGAUGCAACCGUAUUUCCAGCCAAAUAAAGAGUGGAUUUCUCCAUGCUUAUUUUUAAACCUGAGCAUUUAGCAAAAGCAUCAAAAACUGCGACGAUACCUUCAACAGAGCGUACUUGUCCAUCCGAUAAUACCAUAAGAUCAUCCGCAAAUGAGUGAGACCCAACUUCUUGCACCUUGGAUGGUAUCCGAAUUUUCUAUUUACCGCAGCUUUAUCGAGCAUUUUCGAGAGCACGUCCAUACUUAUAACAAAUAGAUAUGGUGAGAGUGAGCAGCCGUGUCUUAAGCCACGAGAGCUUCGGAAAUAUCCCGCUAAUUCCCCAUUGACCUGAACCGAGAAAGAGGCCGUGGAAACACAUAACAUAAUCCAGUGAAUGAAUGUUGGCGGGAAGUUUAAAGCCGAGAGAACUUUACCCAGGAAUGACCAUUGAACGGAGUCAAAGGCUUUUGAUAUAUCAAUCUUUAUGGCACAACGAGCAGAGACAGAAUUUUUAUGAUAGUCUUUGACAAGUUCAGUGGCGAGAAGCACAUUUUCGAUCAAGAGACGGUCUUUAACAAAAGCCGAUUGAUUCCCAGCAAUAAACCUUGGGAGAAUACCUUUUAGCCGGUUUGCAAUGAUUUUUGAGAUCACUUUGUAGAGUACAUUACAGCAAGAGAUUGGCCGAAAGUCCUUCAUCUCCUUAGCACCUUUCUUUUUAGGGAUUAGUGCUAGAAUGGUAGCAUUAAGACUCUUUGGUAAGAAACCCUUUGCAAAAAAAGAUUGUACUGCCAAUAUAAAUUCCGUGCCUAUAAUCUCCCAAGAUGCUUUGUAAAAUUCAGAAGUAUAGCCAUCAGGGCCCGGAGACUUAUCGUUUGGCAUGGCAAACAAAACUUUUUUAAUUUCUUCUCCUGAGACAACACGAGUGAGAGUUUGAUGAUCCAAGUCAUUAGGGAUAUGUUGCAAAAAGGCUUGAAAAUAUCUCUCAGCCUCGGACUUUAUGUCAUCUUCUUUUACUAGAACCCGGCCAUCUUGACAUACCACUUCCUUGAUACUGUUUUUUGCUUCCCUCAUAACAGCUGCUCUAUGAAACAUUUUGUUGUUCAUAUCACCCACAUUUAACCAAUGCAACUUAGAUAUUUGCUUGAGAUAUUUCUCCUCCAGCCCCGCUACAAAUUCCCAUCUUUUAUACGCCUCAUGUUCUUCUAUCAUUGAGCUGCUACUUGGAUUCAUUGAAUUAGCUUGCUGCUUUUGACAUAGUGUGUCAUAUGCCUCUUUAGCCUUCUUCACCAUUAAUGAGUAUACAACACUAAUCAGUUUAAUUCCUUUCCUAAUUCAUUCACAUGUACUAAAUUGUUUUGUUUAUAAAAAAUACAAGAUUCAACAUCUAAGACAAGACCCAUUGUUACAGAUAACCAAAUCUGUAAAAAUUAAGAACAUGUCCUCUGUUCCUACAGUUCUACCAUUCCGGGUUUAUAUUAGCAUCAGUCUUCAUGUUAUUACAUUAUGCAAUUUUGUUAGCUUAGUUUUGAGAAGUUGAAACAAUGGGUUUUUCUUAGAUGUUGACAAAGAAAGAACAGAGGACAAAUCUCAUCCAGAAGAAACGAUUUUGAAAAUUAAAGCAAAUAUACUCAGAUUAAAGACAUAGAAGAUAGAACUAACAGAGAUGUAUAAAGCUAGUUAAAGAGAGAAAUAUAGUAAAAUAGAUAAGGUUGACAAAAAAGAAAAAAAACGCAUAGAUAUGCCCAUUGUUUCACCUAACUAGCUCCAAUGAUCGUCUCUAACCUUCAUCUCCUUGUCCCUUCUCAGUCUGAUUCUGAAUCUGAUGAUUCAUAAUAUUCUGACUUCACUAACGGAGGAUGGACUGACUUGAGUUGCUUUAAAUCGUUAACAUCAAGAUCCUCUACGUGGUUUACAAAGGUGCAAACAGUACAAGUUUUCUUAAACGCUUCGCCAAAACCUUGGAUUUCAACACGUUGGAGAGUGUUCCGUUCGGGAUUGAAGUAAAAAACAUAAAACGGUUGUUUAGAUGUAUACUUGCGCAUGGAAAACACUAUUUCACCCGAAGCAGUGGCUCCAGCGAUGGAAAGGUGACGACGGAAGAACUUAUCAUCGGUCCAAGUGUAGGCAUAUUUAGACCAUUUCUGUUUCUCAAGAUCCUCUAGAACCCACACACGCAACUCAUUAAUGGCAUCGAGAUUUUCCUCCCAAUAAUCAUCGAGAUCCUUCCCAUAAAAACAAAUCUCAUAGAUGUCUUCAUCAUCCUCCCAAUAAAUCACAGCUAAUUUGCCCUUGUAGUUGAUCAAUCGACAAAACCUUUCUACGCCAAUAUAGGUGAAUGUCUCAGACCGAACAUCAAAGCAAACUAUCACAUAUUCAAACUUCAGUUCAACUCCCACAGCUAAGAAAUACAAAACCCCAUUGAUGCAUAUCCCAUCACUCUCAAUUUCAGGUCGUUCUGGUGAGAUCUUUAUCUUUCUCCACGUGAGAUCUCCAUCUCCUAAUGUAAGAAUUUUAUUAUGACCAGGGCCACAUGAAUAACGCAUGGACAAUACCUUGUAGUGCUUGUCAAUGGGGUCAAACCCGAAAAAGCUAUACGCCUUUCUGUAAGUAUAACGAUCAGGUAAGAUCGCAUACCGUCCUGUGUUGGGGUUACAUAUCACAGGUCUUCCCUGGUAUCGACAACCAUAGAUAUAGAUCAAGCCAGAAGCGUAGCCAAUUGAAAAAUAUCUUGGGUCAUAAGAAUGAUAUAUCUGUAACUUUUCUGGAGAGAACUUCACAUGAAAUUCAGCGGCUGCUACAAGAGUUGGUGACGAUUUCUCAUAUGGAUUCUCAAGCUGAGGCGUUGAGAAGAAGCUCCACACAUAGUCAUCUUCUUCGGUUACGUUGCCUGCCAUGGCGAAUAAGAGACGCGGCUUAGCGGAGGACCUGGUCACGAACAACUCCUUGAAGUAGGGACUAGCAAACAUUGAUGCCCAUCGCUUCGACACGCAACGAAACCUAGCCACUGACUUUGAAGGUAAUCUCGACAAUAUCUCCAUGAUGAGAUCAUUCGUUAAGGAAGAUGAUGAAUUCAUGAUUGCGUAUCGAACGAAGAAAGAGAGAUCUGUUAAAGCUAUAUGUAUACUAAUAACGAGACCUAGCUACGGUCGUGUAUUUCUUUCCCGAUUUUAGUCCGUUAAGAAAAACAUAAAAUGGGCUAACUUUAACGUCCAAGUGGGCCACUAGCUAUUGGAUUGAGAAAUUGGAAGAAGCUAAAUUGGGUGAUUCAUGAUCUAGGCUUCUUGAUUAUGGUUUUGUUGGAUCAGUUUUUGUGGUAAUUUCACUUCUCUAGGUUUGUGGUUUAGCUAAUUCUUGAUGAAAUGGUUCCAUGAUUUGUUUGAGAUUGAACGUAUAUAUAUAGAGAUUGCUCUGAGGAUGAUUUUUGGUGAUUUGAUUGAAGCUUUUUACUGAACAAGUUUAUUUUGAGGAUCUGUUUUUAAGGUAGAUUGUAGUGUGUUCAUUUAGUGUGUUGAGUUUAGAGAGAUUAAAGCUUUCACUUACAUGAUAAACGUUCUAGCUAAAUACAUGCAUGAACAAGAUUUGUGAUUUUUCUCAAGCAUGUUCAUUUUGUGUAUUGGGUGAGAUUGUUAUGGGGAAUUCUGGUGAUCUUGAUGUAAGUGAAAGAUCUGUUAAUUUACGUUUUAGCUAAGCCCUGAAUAAGAUUGUGAUUUUCUUAUGUACAAUCUCUCAAGCAUGUUCAUUUAGUGCAUUGAGUUGCAGAUUAUACGUUAGAGAGAUUGCUACUACGGGAAUUUGUUGGUGUUUCAAUUGCCUUCAAGUGCUUGUUAUGUUUAUGUUUGAAGAUCGGUGUGCUUGUUGGUGAUUUUCAUCUUUUGAUGGUUCGAACAUUCAGGAUUUUCGACUCGGCGACCAUGAUUUUGAGAAUCUGUGAGUUUACGUUUUAGCACAGCCAUGAACAAGAUUGUGAUUUGCUUGUGUACAAUCUCUGAAACAUGUUCAUUUAGUGCAUUGAGUUUCACAAUAAACGUUACAGAGAUUGCUAUGAGGAUAUCUUUGUAUAGAAACCAUCCAGAAGAAACAAUGUUAAAAAUUCCUUUCCCAGUUUUCAUCAACUGAAAUCAUGUUUGCAAUACUUCAAAGGUGAGAGAAACAACUAUUAGUAUCUUAAUUGACCUUAUUUGUCAUUGAAGAGGUGAAUCUUAAGAGUAUUAGUUAAUUAGAGUUACUCUCCUAUUUGUGCUGCCUCUAUAAUGACUUGUGCUGCCUCUAUAAUGAAUAUGCUUUUGUUAUAUACUCACUUUCUUACCAGGUUUUGAGGCAGAACGUUCAUAGAACUUUCAAGAAUGUUAGGAUUGUAUCUAACAGAAUGAUGUUCAAUGAUGAUGGACAGCUCAAAGGUAUAUUUGCUUGGUGAGGAAGAUGAAGAAAAUGCAAACAUGAUACAGCGAACGAAUGUUUUGCUUAUGGGAGAUCAUUUGGGCGAUUUACGGAUGUCUGAUGGAUUGAAUUAUGAGACUCGAAUAUCUAUUGGAUUUCUGUGAGUUUUUCUCUUCUUCUAUUUUGCUUCUUCUCUGUUAUAACAUUGAGAAGAGUCUUGAGGCGUUUGAUCUUGUUUUUCUUGUAAGUCGGAUACGCAAUUUAUAGAUGGUCUUCACAACCUGGAAACUGCUAAUAAAGGGUUUUAUGUUUUGUGGAUAAAAAAACAUAAUGAUGCACCUAUGUGGGGGAGUUAGCUGCCAAUGCCUUUUAAGUGCAAGACUAUUUCUUUCAGAGGACAAAUUCAUCCAGAAGAAUCAGUUUAAUUCGUUAAUUUUGUUGAAAUUCCUUUCCCAGUUCAUUCUCAUGUACUAAAAUACAAGAUUCAACAUCUAAGACAAGACUCAUUGUUACAGAGAACCAAAAGAUUCAACCUUUCAAAACUAAUCUAACAAGAAAUUGCAUCAUCUAAGAACAUGGAAGACUCUGAGGCUAAUAUAAACUAGGAAUAGUACAACUGUAAGAACGUUUUCUUCAAUUACAGUGAACAUUUUUACAAAUCCCAUUAAGUAUUUGUGUCCAAAGUGUCAUCAUGAAAUAAAUUACUCAAAUGACAAACACAACAAGAUGUUGACAAAGAAUAGAGGACAAAAAAUCUCAUCCAGCAGAAACAAUGUUGAAAAUUAAAGCAAAUAUUCUCGGAUUAAACACAGAACUGUUGAAUAGAUGUAUAAAGCUAGUUAAAAGAGAGAGAAAAACCGAGAGAAAAAAAAAAACCGCAUAGAUAAAGAGCACAAAAGGACAUGCCCAUUGCUUUCACCUUCAUCUCCUUGACCCUUCUUAGUCUAAUUCUGAUUCUGAUUCUGAUUCGAAUCGAUCAUAAUAUUCUGGCUCCACCAAUGGAGGAUGGACUGACUUGAGUUGUUUUAAAUCGUUAACAUCAAGAUCCUCUACGUGGUUUACAAAGGUGCGAACGCUACAAGUUUCCUUAAACGCUUCACCAAAACCUUGGAUUUCAACACGUUGGAGAGUGUUCCUUUCGGGAUUGAAGUAAAAAACAUAAAACGGUUGUUUAGAUGUAUACUUACGCAUGGAAAACACUAUUUCAACUGAAGCAGUGGCUCCAGCGAUGGAAAGGUGACGACGGAAGAAUGUAUCAUCGGUCCAAGUGUAGGCAUAUUUAGACCAAGUGUAUUUAGAAGUGUAGGCAUAUUUAGACCAUUUCUUUUUCUCAACAUCCUCUAGAACCCACAAAUGCAACUCGUUAGUGGCAUCAACGUCGAGAUUUUCCUCCAAAUACUCAUCGAGAUCCUUCCCAUAAACACAGAUCUCAUAGAUGUCGACAUCAUCCUCCCAAUAAAUCACAGCUAAUUUGCCCUUGUAGUUUAUCAAUCGACAAAACCUUCCUACAUAAAUACACGUGAAUUUCUCAGACCUAACAUCAAAGCAAACUAUCACAUAAUCACAAGAUCCUUCACCUAUCUCACCUAAGAAAUACAAAACCCCAUUGAUGCAAAUCCCAUCACUCUUAAUUUCAGGUCGUCCUAAGGGAAAUUUGAUCUUUCUCCACGUGAGAUCUCCAUCUCCAAAUGUAAGAAUUUUGUUACGUCCUGGACCAGAUGGAUAACGGAUGGACAAGGCCUUGUAUUGCUUGUCAAUGGGGUCAAACCCGAAAAAGCUAUACGCUUUUCUAUAAGUAUAACGAUUAGGUAAGAUUGCAUACCGUCCUGUGUUGGGGUUACAUAUCAGAGGUCUAGCUUGGUAUCGACAACCAUAGAUAUAGAUCAAGCCAGAAGCGUAGCCAAUUGAAAAAUAUUUUAUGUCACCAUAAUAAUUGAUCCUCAAAUUUUCUGGAGAGAACUUCACAUGAAAUUCAGCAGCUGCUACAAGAGUCGACGACGAUUUCUCAUAUGGAUUCUCAAACUGAGGCGAUGAGAAGAAGCUCCACACACCACAAGUUUCUGCGCUAUCGUCGCCGUUUUCUGCGAUGGCGAAUAAGAGGCGCGGCUUAGCGGAGGACCUGGUCAUUGAUGACGCCCAUCGCUUCGACACACAACGAAACCUCGCGACUGAGUUUGAAGACAAUAUCUCCUUGAUGAGAUUAGUCUUUAUGAAAGAUGAAUUCAUGAUUGCGGAUCGAACGAGGAAAGAGAGAUCUGUUAAAUUACUUAUAUAGUAUUUAAGUAAGCCCUAGAAAAACCUAGCAGUAAGAGAGACCUAGCUACCAUUUCGUGUAUUUAUUUCACGAUUUUAGUCUGUUAAGUAAAACAAAAUAAAAAGUUUGGACUUCUUCGGUCAAUGUGUGUAAAUAAUAAAAAGGUAAAUGUGUUAUUUUCCGAUUUUUGAAUUUCUUCGGUCAUCUAUCAAAAAGAUGGCAAAAUAAUAAUAAUAAAAAAAAGAGUUGUGUGAUUUGUUUGAGAUUGAACAUAUACAGAAAUUGCUCUGAGGAUGAGUUUUGGUGAUUUGAGUGAAGCUUUUACUGACCAAGUUUAUUUUGAGGAUCUUUGAAAUUACGUUUUAGCUAAGCCAUGAAUGAACAAGAUUUGUGAUUUGCUUGUGUACAAUCUCUCAAACAAGUUCCAAAUAAACGUUACAGAGAUUGCUAUGGGGAUAUCUUGGUGUUUCAAUUAUCUUUGCAUGCUUUGUUACGUUUAUAUAUAUACAUAUAUAUGAUUGUGGUUGAAGAUCAGUUGUGUGCUUGUUGGUGAUUUUGAUCUUUUGAUGGUUUAAAAACAUUCCAGAUUUUCAAAUCGUGUCACAAUGUUGUUAGAUUGUUAAAAUAAUCUUCAAGUACUUGCUACACUUUUUAAGGCCAUAUCAUCUUUUUCUUCUGUAUAAAUUAGGAAUGAUUCUGAGAAUUAUUUUUUGCUCAAACCACACUAAUCAGUUUAAUCCCUUUCCCAGUUCAUUCUCAUGUACUAAAUUACUUUGCUUACAAAAAAAAAAAUACAAGAUUCAAGAUCUAAGGCAAGACCCAUUGUCCAUUGUUACAAAGAACCAAAAGUUACAACCUUACAAAACCAAGCUAACAAGAAAUUGCAUAAUUUAAGAACAUGGAAGCGUGGAAGACUCUGAGGCUGAACAUGUGAAUGUGAAAAAUCAGUGAACAUUUUCACAAAUCCCAUUUAACUAUUAAAGUGUCAUCAGGAAAUAAAUUAGUCCCAUCACGCACAAAUAACAAAGACAACAAGAUGUUGACAAAGAAGAAAGAACAGAGGACAAAUCUCAUGCAAAAGAAACAAUGUUGAAAAUUAGAGCAAAUAUACUCCAAUUAAAGACAGAGAACUAAGAGAAACAACAAAACCAUGUUCUUGAGACCAAACAAAAUGAAGAAUAGAUGUGUAAACCUAGUUAAAGAGAGAGACACCGUAAAAUAGAUAAGGUUGACAAAAAAAAAAAACGCAGAGAUAAGAGCACAAAAUGAUCGUCUCUAUCCUUCUUCAUCUCCUUGUCCGUCUGAUUCAGAAUCUGAGUCUGAUUCUGCUUCAGAAUCUGUAUCUGAUUCUGAUUCUGGUAGACAAUAAAAUUCUGGCUUCACCAAUGGAGGAUGGACUGACUUGAGUUGUUUUAAAUCGUUAACAUCAAGAUCCUCUACGUGGUUUACAAAGGUGCGAACGCUACAAGUUUUCUUAAACGCUUCACCAAAACCUUGGAUUUCAACACGUUGGAGAGUGUUCCUUUCGGGAUUGAAGUAGAAAACAUAAAACGGUUGUUUAGAUGAAUACUUGCGCAUCGAAAAUACUAUUUCACCCGAAGCAGUCGCUCCAGCGAUGGAAACAUGACGACGGAAGAAUGUAUCAUCGGUCCAAGUGUAGGCAUAUUUCGACCAUUCAUGUUUCUCAACAUCCUCUAGAACCCACACACGCAACUCAUUAGUGGCAUCAACGUUGAGAUUUUUCUCCAAAUAAUCAUCGAGAUUCUUCCCAUAAUAACAAAUCUCAUAAAUGUCGACAUCAUCCUCCCAAUAAAUCACAGCUAAUUUGCCAUUGUAGUUGAUCAAUUGACAAAUCCUCUCUACGUCAAUAUAUGUGAAUUUCUCAGACCUAACAUCAAAGCAAACUAUCACAUAUUCAAACGAGCAUUCAACUCUCACAGCUAAGAAAUACAAAACCCCAUUGAUGCAUAUCCCAUCACUCUUAAUACCAGGUUGUGGUAAGGGACAUUUUAUCUUUCUCCAUGUCAGAUCUCCAUCUCCUAAUGUAAGUAUUUUAUUAUGACCAGGACCAGAUGGAUAACGCAUGGACAAUACCUUGUAUUGCUUGUCAAUUGGGUCAAACCCGAAAAAGCUAUACGCCUUUCUGUAAGUAUACCGAUUAGGUAAGAUCACAUAUCGUCCUGUGUUGGGGUUACAUAUCAGAGGUCUAGCCAUGUAUCGAUCACCAUACAUAUAGAUCAAGCCAGAGGCGUAGCCAAUUGAAAAAUAUCUUGGGUCGUAAGAAUGAUAAAUCCCUAUUAACUUGUCUGGAGAUAACUUCAUAUGAAACUCAGCGGCUGCUACAAGAGUCGACGACGAUUUCUCAUAUGUAUUCUCAAGCUGAGGCGUUGAGAAGAAGCUCCACACACAGUCAUCUUCUUCUGCGAUGGCGAAUAAGAGACGCGGCUUAGCGGAGGACCUGGUCUGGAACAACUCGUUGAAGUAUGAAUGCCUGAUUCUUUUUUUGGAAUUGAAAGAUGAAUUCAUGAUUCUUUUUUUUGAACUGAAAGAUGAAUACAUGAUUGCGGAUCGAACGAAGAAAGAGAGAUGUGUCAAAACUUAUGUAUCAAGUAAGCCCUAGAAAAACCAAUUAACAAAAGACGUAGAGAAACCUAGCAAUACGAGACCUAGCUACCAUUAUAUAUUUCGUGUAUUUAUUUCCGGAUUGUAGUCGGUUAAGUAAAACAAAAAUGGGCUAAUUUUAACCUUCAAGUGGGCCACUAGCAAUAAGAGAUCUUCUUUCUUGGUUUGGAGUUUGAGCCUUUGAUCAAAAAGAAUGAAUCAGUGUGAUGGAAGAGAAAAACAGCUGCUCUAAUGAUCAGCUCAAUAUCAGAACCAAUCCCAUUAUCACUAACUUCGCUAGCUUUCACUCCACAGAACCAUUCCUCGAUUGUUUUUGAAGUUUCUUCACUAACGCAGCCAACACAUUCUCUUAAUUUUUAUGCAAAUAUCUAUAAACCUUGUUUUCUCGGCCCGUGGCAGCAAAGCAGAGAUCUCUGCCUCCUCCAACAUAAUACCUGAAGCAUCCAUGUGAUCUUCCACUUCAUAACCCUUUUUCAGCCUCCAAACUCUCACAGAAACAGAGCAUAAUCAACAAUGUCUUUGAAAAGCUUGAAAGCAUAAUCACCGUCACCCUUGGCAGCAGCUAGCCAUGCCACUGCAGUGACGGAGGAUUCAUUAGGACUUAUCCCUGAACUAGCCAUACGGUCAAAAAUUUGGAAGCCACGGUCGAUGCCAAGGGUUUGAAGAGAGAUGGGUCACUAAUGGGCGCGGAUCAGAGGUAAAGAAGGGUUUGGAAGUGUUUCUGGCUGAGGCGGAUGUCACUGGAAGUGAUAACAAGUCUGCAAUUGCAAUUGGCAAGAAUCCAGUGCAACAUCGAAGAACCAAGCACAUGUCUAAGUAUCAUUUUGUUCGAGAGGCAGAACACAAAGGUCUCAUUCAACUCAAGUAUUAUGAAGGAGAAGUUCAAGUUGCAGACUGCUUACGAAAGCACUUGGCGUCACAAGAUUUGAACAACUAAAGAAGAAGCUUGGAGUAAGAGAGAAACUCAAUUAAGUGGGAGUGUUGAUCGAUAGUUGAGUUUCUAAUUAUGUUAAGGUUUAAUGUAUUAAGAGUCAUGAUUCGUAUAAGUUAGUUAUUUGUCAAGAGUCAUCAUAAACAAAACAAGAGACACAACUCUUCAUGUUGUUUUGUUUUUACUGUUUCAUGUCUCUAUUAUUAAAAAAAACAAGAUUCAACACCUAAGACAAGACCCAUUGUUACAGAGAACCAAAGGUUUCAACCUUUCAAAACUAAGCUAACAAGAACUUGCAUAAUUUAAGAACAUGAAGACUGAGGCUAAUAUACACCAGGAAAUGGUACAACUGUAGGAAUGUUUUCUUCAAUGACAGUGAAAAAUCACUGAACAUUUUUACAAAUCCCAUUAAGUAUUUGAGUCCAAAGUGUCAUCAUGAAAUAUAUUAGUCCCAUCACACACACAAACGACAAACACAACAAGAUGUCGACAAAGAAUAGAGGACAAAUCUCAUCGUGAAGAAACAAUUAAUCUUAUUGUUUUGUUAGCUAGAGAGUAAUUUUCCGUUAAUAAAUUUAUGUUAUUUUGGGGAAAUUUUUACAAGUCUUGUAUUUGACUUUAUCUUUCUUCUUAAAUAUUUUACUUUCACCCUUCAUAAACUAUUUUACGAAUGUUAUGUUUUCUUUUUAUCUGGUACGAAUUAAGUUUUCAGUAAUUCGAACUCGUACAUGUUCACAUUCUACUUUGACAAAGUUAGUUAGAUUGUUAAAAUGAUCUGAGAAUUAUUUUUUGCUCACACAAACACUAUUUAGUUUAAUUCGUUUCCUAAUUCAUUCUUAUGUACUAAAUUCAACAUCUAAGACACCCAUUGUUUUAGAGAACAAAAGUUUCAACCUUUCAAAACUAAGCUAACAAGAAACUGCAUAAUUUAAGAACAUAAAGACUGAGACUAAUAAAAACCAGGAAUGGUAGAAAUGUAGGAAUGUUUUCUUUAAUUACAGUGAAAAAUCAGUGAGAUCUCUUACAAAUCCCAUUAAGUAUUUGAGUCCAAAGUGCCAUCAUCAAAUAUAUUAGUCCCGUCACACAAAAGUGACAAACACAACAAGAUGUUGACAAAAAACAGAGGACAAAUCUCAUCCAGAAGAAACAAUGUUGAAAGAGCAAAUAUACUCAGAUUAAAGACAGAGAACUAAGUGAAACAACAAAACCAUGUUCUUGAGACCAAACAAAAUGAAGACUAGAUGUGUAAACCUAGUUAAAGAGAGAGACACCGUAAAAUAGAUAAGGUUGACAAAAAAAAAAAAAAAAAAAACGCAGAGAUAAGAGCACAAAAUGAUCGUCUCUAUCCUUCUUCAUCUCCUUGUCCGUCUGAUUCAGAAUCUGAGUCUGAGUCUGAUUCUGUAUCUGCUUCUGGUAGACAAUAAAAUUCUGGCUUCAAUGGAGGAUGGACUGACUUGAGUUGUUUUAAAUCGUUAACAUCAAGAUCCUCUAUGUGGUUUACAAACGUGCGAACGCUACAAGUUUUCUUAAACGCUUCGCCAAAACCUUGGAUUUCAACACGUUGGAGAGUGUUCCUUUCGGGAUUGAAGUAGAAAACAUAAAACGGUUGUUUACAUGUAUACUUGCGCAUGGAAAACACUAUUUCACCUGAAGCAGUGGCUCCAGCGAUGGAAAGGUGACGACGGAAGAAUGUAUCAUCGGUCCAAGUGUAGGCAUAUUUAGACCAUUUCUGUUUCUCAACAUCCUCUAGAACCCACA
rnacentral:lncRNA from 1 species